CAGGAGCCAGGCGGCUGCAUCCAGCUGGCCUGCCAUCCCACCCGGCUCCUAGAGGAUAGCCAGACCUUCCAGAGUCCUGAGUGACACAGCAGUGGGUGAGUUUUGGACAGAGCCACCCUCUCCAAUGGCCCCAUCCUUAUUGCUGCAACGGACAGGAAGGUUGCAGGUGAUGCUGAUGCUGCUGGCCUGGGGACCCACCGGCCUAUUAGCUGUUCCUCCCAUAUUCCGCUAGAAGCCGUCUUGGACCCGGGGUAAGAGAAGACUGCCGACUGAACCUACAGAGGUUUAAAAGGAAAUCUCAAGCCAAAGGUCUGCAUCACUUACCCAAGGCAGGAGGACCUCCUGACCACCUUGGAAGUCUCUCUACCAGCAAACUUGGGGGUCUCAGGCCCAGCAAUCUUACUUACUGGAUCCUGUGAUCUUUCCGUAAACCACACUUUUUGACUCCCCUCUUGCAUGCCAGGAGCUUUAUAUACCCUAUUCUAUUCUUCACAACCAUGCAAGGAGCUCUCCCUGAAGCUUGCAGAAGUCGGAUCUGAACCAGACCUAUUUCUAAAGCCCACGAUCUUAACCUAGGUGAUUUUGCCUUAAGAAAUUAAAACAGAACAGGUAAUUUUA